UUUGAUUUAAAAGAAAUUUGAAUUCUUAUGAAUAAUCAAAU
rnacentral:tRNA from 1 species